UACGUAGGGUGCGAGCGUUGUCCGGAAUUAUUGGGCGUAAAGAGCUUGUAGGCGGUCUGUCGCGUCUGCUGUGAAAAUCCGGGGCUCAACCCCGGACUUGCAGUGGGUACGGGCAGACUAGAGUGUGGUAGGGGAGACUGGAAUUCCUGGUGUAGCGGUGAAAUGCGCAGAUAUCAGGAGGAACACCGGUGGCGAAGGCGGGUCUCUGGGCCGAUACUGACGCUGAGGAGCGAAAAGCGUGGGGGAGCGAACAGG
rnacentral:rRNA from 1 species